UACAGAGGUCUCAAGCGUUGUUCGGAUUCAUUGGGCGUAAAGGGCGCGUAGGCGGGCGGCCGAGUCCGGGGUGAAAGCCCCCAGCUCAACUGGGGAAGUGCCUCGGAUACUGGUCGCCUCGAGGGAGAUAGGGGCGUGCGGAACUUCCGGUGGAGCGGUGAAAUGCGUAGAUAUCGGAAGGAACACCGGUGGCGAAAGCGGCGCGCUGGAUCUCUUCUGACGCUGAGGCGCGAAAGCCAGGGGAGCGAACGGG
rnacentral:rRNA from 1 species